rnacentral:rRNA from 1 species
GUGACCCUACGGGAGGCAGCAGUGGGGAAUAUUGGGCAAUGGGCGAAAGCCUGACCCAGCAACGCCGCGUGAAGGAAGAAGGCUUUCGGGUUGUAAACUUCUUUUGACAGGGAAGAGCAGAAGACGGUACCUGUCGAAUAAGCCACGGCUAACUACGUGCCAGCAGCCGCGGUAAUACGUAGGUGGCAAGCGUUGUCCGGAUUUACUGGGUGUAAAGGGCGUGUAGCCGGGCUGACAAGUCAGAUGUGAAAUCCGGGGGCUCAACCCCCGAACUGCAUUUGAAACUAUUGGUCUUGCGUAUCGGG